rnacentral:rRNA from 1 species
AUUGAACGCUGGCGGCAUGCCUUACACAUGCAAGUCGAACGGCAGCACGGGAGCAAUCCUGGUGGCGAGUGGCGAACGGGUGAGUAAUACAUCGGAACGUGCCCAGUCGUGGGGGAUAACUACUCGAAAGAGUGGCUAAUACCGCAUACGACCUGAGGGUGAAAGCGGGGGAUCGCAAGACCUCGCGCGAUUGGAUCGGCCGAUGUCAGAUUAGCUAGUUGGUGGGGUAAAGGCCUACCAAGGCUACGAUCUGUAGUUGGUCUGAGAGGACGACCAGCCACACUGGGACUGAGACACGGCCCAGACUCCUACGGGAGGCAGCAGUGGGGAAUUUUGGACAAUGGGCGCAAGCCUGAUCCAGCAAUGCCGCGUGCAGGAAGAAGGCCUUCGGGUUGUAAACUGCUUUUGUCAGGGAAGAAAUCCUCUGGGUUAAUACCUCGGGGGGAUGACGGUACCUGAAGAAUAAGCACCGGCUAACUACGUGCCAGCCGCCGCGGUAACAC